rnacentral:rRNA from 1 species
GCAAAGGUAGCAUAAUUAUUAGUUUUUUAAUUGAAAGCUUGUAUGAAGGGUUGGACGAGAUAAAAUCUGUCUUUAUUUAAAUUAAAGUAGAAUUUAACUUUUAAGUUAAAAGGCUUAAAUGUUAAUAAAAGACGAGAAGACCCUAUAGAUCUUUAUUUAAUUAAUAUUUUAAUAAUUUAGGAUGAAUUUAAUUUAAAAUUUUAAUUAAAUUUUAUUGGGGUAAUAUAAAGAUUAAAUAAAUUCUUUUUAUUUUUUACAUUGAUUUAUGAAUAUAUGAUCCAAUAUUAUUGAUUAUAAGAUUAAGUUACCUUAGGGAUAACAGCGUAAUUUUUUUGGAGAGCUCAUAUCGAUAAAAAAGUUUGCGACCUCGAUGUUGGAUUAAAAGUUAGCUUGGGUGUAGAAGCUCAAGAUUUUGGUCUGUUCGACCAUUAAAUUUUUACAUGAUCUGAGUUCAGACCGGCGUGAGCCAGGUCGGUUUCUAUCUUUAUUUAAUUAAAAUAUUUUAGUACGAAAGGACCAAACAUUUAAUAUAAUUAUAUUUAUUUUUUGAAUAAUAUUAUUACUUUGGCAGAUUAGUGCAAUGAAUUUAGAAUUCAUGAAUGUAAUUAUAUUACAAGUAAUACUUGUAUUUAGGGGAUUUAUUAUU